rnacentral:rRNA from 1 species
GAUGAACGCUAGCGGCAGGCUUAACACAUGCAAGUCGAGGGGUAGAGGAAGCUUGCUUCCUUGAGACCGGCGCACGGUGCGUAACGCGUAUGCAAUCUACCUUAUACAGGGGAUAGCCCAGAGAAAUUUGGAUUAAUACCCCAUAGUAUAAUUGAAUGGCAUCAUUUAAUUAUUAAAGUUCCAACGGUAUAAGAUGAGCAUGCGUCCAUUAGCUAGUUGGUGUGGUAACGGCACACCAAGGCGACGAUGGGUAGGGGUCCUGAGAGGGAGAUCCCCCACACUGGUACUGAGACACGGACCAGACUCCUACGGGAGGCAGCAGUGAGGAAUAUUGGUCAAUGGGCGCAAGCCUGAACCAGCCAUGCCGCGUGCAGGAUGACGGUCCUAUGGAUUGUAAACUGCUUUUGUACAGGAAGAAACGCUCCCUCGUGAGGGGAGCUUGACGGUACUGUAAGAAUAAGGAUCGGCUAACUCCGUGCCAGCAGCCGCGGUAAU